AGCAGUGGAUAUCAACGCAGACUUCAUUGAUUAAGUUAUGGCAUAUAAUUAUGUAUUUCUCAUUGUUCAGGAAGAAGUUUGCUAAAGGUUCCAUCUCUAUUGGUUUGCAGGCUAGAAGCAUU